CCCGAACCUGUUGGCAGGUCUUCGUCCCGCCCCUUCUUUCCCUUUCUCCCGCCUCCCCGAGUUUACGCGCUGUGAUUGGUCGAGAGAGCCGUCCGGUCUCCUUUCCCCUCCCCCUCCCGCGGGCGAGUUGGGCUGCGCGGCAGCGGAGGUGGAAGCCUGAGGCGGCAGCGGCGGCGGCAGCGGCCUCCCCUUCGUCCUCCUUCCCUCCUUCCCUCCUCCCGCCCGCCCAGCUCGCCUCCCGGCUGCCCUUGUGCCUCACACACCCCCCUGGCCUCCUCCGUCCCGGCGCUUGCUCCGGGAGCUGAGCCGGCCCCGCCUGAGGAGCAGCAGUGGCGGGAAGAUCCAGCUUCCUUUGGUCAAGUACAGCUUUCUACCUUGGUGCUGAGAAUCCUUAAAGAUAGUGAGUCGGGUCCAGUGGCAUCCCAAGUGAUGGUGAAUGCAGUCCUAAGAAUAUAAGUGCCGUAGCAGCAAAAGCAGUGAUCGUGUGUCUGUCCUCGUGUCUGAGUCAGCGAUACCAUAGUAGAGCCACCGUAAUUAGUUGUUUGGUAUGUAACAUAUUGUUCCCAAGUUCCCUGACUAAUGCUCCAUCUGACUGAUUCAGAGACUUGCUCUUAAUGAGAUGCAAGUCUUAGAACAGCUCAGCAUGUAAUCCUCUGAGUUGGCCAGCUGAUCCUUAGGAGCCUUACCACAUCCAGAGGCACCAGGAACCAUCCGUUUUCCUUCUGGAAACAGUGUUGAGAUAAUAGAAAUCAACUGAUAUCUGGCCAGUUCUUUCUGGGCAGGUAUUUGUAUAACCCUGACCACCAACUGUGAGGGCCCUUGUCACUGGGCAGAGGAGCCAGGAAUGAACAAGUGUGCAGAGACAGCACACACAUGUGAAGGAGGUGGGGAGGGUUAGAGCAUGUGGGAAUCGUGCACUGAUACCUAAUCUGUAGGAUACCCUUGAAAGCCAUUUGCUGCAAAUGACUCAUUUUAGAUUCUGCUUCCAACAGGCAGGAAGAAAAAAGGCUGGGAAGUAUUGAAAUACAAAAGGGUUUUAGUCAGCAGUGGCUAAUAACUGGACAAAAAAUGCUGCCUUGUGGGAUCUAGAUGUUUGAAGGGAGUAGUACCCUUUAAACCAAAAAUGGGAAGGUAGGAUAGAGCACAUAAUAGUGACCCCUAAUUGAUCAUCCAACCAGAGUAUAUUAAG
rnacentral:lncRNA from 1 species